rnacentral:rRNA from 1 species
GACGGAGGGUGCGGGCGUUAAUCGGCCUUACUGGGCGUAAAGCGCAUGUAGGCGGCCGAACAAGUCAGGUGUGAAAUCCUCGGGCUUAACCUGGGAAGUGCACUUGAUACUGUCCGGCUAGAGUUUGGCAGAGGAAAGUAGAAUUCCCGGUGUAGCGGUGAAAUGCGUAGAUAUCGGGAGGAAUACCAGUGGCGAAGGCGGCUUUCUGGGCCAAUACUGACGCUGAGGUGCGAAAGCGUGUGGAGCAAACAGG